UGUAACGUAGUGGAUAGCGUGCUGUACUUCCAAUCCAAAGGUCGUGGGUUUGAAUCCCUCCUAA